UGGGGAAUUUUGGACAAUGGGCGAAAGCCUGAUCCAGCAAUGCCGCGUGUGUGAAGAAGGCCUUCGGGUUGUAAAGCACUUUUGUCCGGAAAGAAAUCCUUGGCUCUAAUACAGUCGGGGGAUGACGGUACCGGAAGAAUAAGCACCGGCUAACUACGUGCCAGCAGCCGCGGUAAUACGUAGGGUGCAAGCGUUAAUCGGAAUUACUGGGCGUAAAGCGUGCGCAGGCGGUUUGCUAAGACCGAUGUGAAAUCCCCGGGCUCAACCUGGGAACUGCAUUGGUGACUGGCAGGCUAGAGUAUGGCAGAGGGGGGUAGAAUUCCACGUGUAGCAGUGAAAUGCGUAGAGAUGUGGAGGAAUACCGAUGGCGAAGGCAGCCCCCUGGGCCAAUACUGACGCUCAUGCGCGAAAGCGUGGGGAGCAAACAGGAUUAGAUACCCUGGUAGUCCACGCCCUAAACGAUGUCAACUAGUUGUUGGGGAUUCAUUUCCUUAGUAACGUAGCUAACGCGUGAAGUUGACCGCCUGGGGAGUACGGUCGCAAGAUUAAAACUCAAAGGAAUUGACGGGGUCAUAGCUGUUUCCU
rnacentral:rRNA from 1 species